rnacentral:rRNA from 1 species
CCUACGGGUGGCAGCAGUGGGGAAUAUUGCACAAUGGGGGGAACCCUGAUGCAGCGACGCCGCGUGGGUGAAGGAGUAUUUCGGGAUGUAAAGCCCUAUCAGCAGGGAAGAACAAUGACGGUACCUUACCGAGAAGCACCGGCUAAAUACGGGCCAGCAGCCGCGGUAAUACGCAUGGUGCAAGCGUUAUCCGGAUUUACUGGGUGUAAAGGGAGCGCAGGCGGCGCGUUAAGCCUGGUGUGAAAGCCCGCGGCCCAACCGCGGGACUGCAUUGGAAACUGGCGCGCUGGAGUGCCGGAGGGGUAGGCGGAAUUCGUGGUGUAGCGGUGAAAUGCGUAGAUAUUAGGAGGAACACCAGUGGCGAAGGCGGUCUGCUGGACAGCAACUGACGGUGAGGCGCGAAAGCGUGGGGAGCAAACAGGAUUAGAUACCCGUGUAGUC